UCCGGCUUAUCACCGGCAGUCCCUUUAGAGUGCCCAACUAAAUGAUGGCAACUAAAGGCGAGGGUUGCGCUCGUUGCGGGACUUAACCCAACAUCUCACGACACGAGCUGACGACAGCCAUGCACCACCUGUGAAGGUGCCCCGAAGGGAGACCGUGUUUCCACGGCUGUCACCUACAUGUCAAGCCCAGGUAAGGUUCUUCGCGUUGCUUCGAAUUAAGCCGCAUGCUCCGCCGCUUGUGCGGGCCCCCGUCAAUUUCUUUGAGUUUUAACCUUGCGGCCGUACUCCCCAGGCGGAUGACUUCACGCGUUAGCUGCGUUACUAAAGGAUUUAACUCCUCCAACAACUAGUCAUCAUCGUUUAGGGCGUGGACUAC
rnacentral:misc_RNA from 1 species